rnacentral:rRNA from 1 species
GACGAACGCUGGCGGCGUGCUUAACACAUGCAAGUCGAGCGGAAAGGCCCUUUCGGGGGUACUCGAGCGGCGAACGGGUGAGUAACACGUGAGUAAUCUGCCCCUGGCUUUGGGAUAGCCACCGGAAACGGUGAUUAAUACCGGAUACGACCACUUCUCGCAUGGGAUGGUGGUGGAAAGUUUUUCGGCCAGGGAUGUGCUCGCGGCCUAUCAGCUUGAUGGUGAGGUAAUGGCUCACCAUGGCUUCGACGGGUAGCCGGCCUGGGAGGGUGACCGGUCACACUGGGACUGAGACACGGCCCAGACUCCUACGGGAGGCAGCAGUGGGGAAUAUUGGACAAUGGGCGGAAGCCUGAUCCAGCAACGCCGCGUGAGGGAUGACGGCCUUCGGGUUGUAAACCUCUUUCAGCAGGGACGAAGCGCAAGUGACGGUACCUGCAGAAGAAGCACCGGCCAACUACGUGCCAGCAGCCGCCGCAG